GUCUACGGCCAUACCUAGGCGAAAAACACCAGUUCCCGUCCGAUCACUGCAAUAAAGUGAAAACGUCUGAGGGCCUCGUUCGUUCUAUAGUUGGAGACAACAUGGGAAUCCGGGGUGCUGUAGGCU
rnacentral:rRNA from 1 species